UAGGGAAUCUUGCGCAAUGGGCGAAAGCCUGACGCAGCAACGCCGCGUGGGGGAUGAAGGCCUUCGGGUUGUAAACUCCUUUCAGUGGGAACGAAACUGACGGUACCCACAGAAGAAGCCCCGGCCAACUACGUGCCAGCAGCCGCGGUGAUACGUAGGGGGCGAGCGUUGUCCGGAUUUAUUGGGCGUAAAGAGCUCGUAGGCGGUUUGGUAAGUCGGGUGUGAAACCUCCAGGCUUAACCUGGAGACGCCACUCGAUACUGCCAUGACUAGAGUCCGGUAGGGGACCAUGGAAUUCCUGGUGUAGCGGUGAAAUGCGCAGAUAUCAGGAGGAACACCAGUAGCGAAGGCGGUGGUCUGGGCCGGUACUGACGCUGAGGAGCGAAAGCGUGGGGAGCGAACAGGAUUAGAUACCCCCGUAGUCC
rnacentral:rRNA from 1 species